AUAAUAUAUAGAAUUCUCUAUUCUAAACACCAUCAGAGUACUUGUACUUGUUGCUUCCGUGAGCAGUGAGCCCAGUGCUCGCAUUCUCAUUUGAUUGGGUACUCGCGGGAGGUGAUCUUAAACUCCCUGUAUUCAUGUGACAUCUGUCUGAAUUUGUUAAAUGAAAUGUUA
rnacentral:misc_RNA from 1 species